UACGAAACGUUGAUGAGGAGAAGUAGGAGAAAUCCCCCUUACCCAGAGAAAAUCACCAUUGGCUGGAAGUGAUUUUAAGGGGAAUCUCUGAAAUGCACCUCGGAGUCUUCUGCCGAAGCGAGUAGGCUGGAGCGGUCACCUUCCGUUAUCGAGGAUCGAGUGGGGAAGACGUUUCCCAAACAGAGUGGAACCACGCCUGGCGCGUCUCUGUG
rnacentral:ncRNA from 1 species